rnacentral:sRNA from 1 species
GUCUCGGUAGGACUUCCA